GCCCUGCGACACCGUAUGACUCGUGCUGCCGUAGCCGGUUCUUACUCCAGUACUCGUCCGAGGUAUCGUGCGUGGAGCCGCAUCCCAGCAGGCAGGCAAAACAGGGGGCCUUUUCUCUCCGCGUGAGCACCUGCAGCACAGUGGAUCUGUUUGUGUGAGGAGAGGCAAGAUUCAGAGUGGGCUUUGCUACGACGACAUCCAUCAGAGGAUUUGUUUGGGGUGCAAAUCUGUGGACCGUAUCCAGAUACGGUAGCACGAAAGGUUGAACUUGUGGAUAAUGAAUGUUUAGUUGACUUUCAUAGACAUAAAUAUGGGCUGCCCAAUUGAUAUAGUUGUCAACAAGGUUGCUGGAUCA